rnacentral:rRNA from 1 species
CUACGGGGUGCAGCAGUGAGGAAUUUUGCGCAAUGGGGGAAACCCUGACGCAGCAACGCCGCGUGAGUGAAGAAGGCCCUUGGGUCGUAAAGCUCUGUCAAUGGGGAAGAAGUUACUUGGUAUUAAUAGUGCCUUGUAUUGACGGUACCCAUGAAGGAAGCACCGGCUAACUCCGUGCCAGCAGCCGCGGUAAUACGGGGGGUGCAAGCGUUAUUCGGAAUUAUUGGGCGUAAAGGGCACGCAGGCGGUCCUGUCAGUCAGAUGUGAAAGCCCGGGGCUCAACCCCGGACGUGCAUUUGAAACAGCAGGACUUGAGUACGGGAGAGGAAAGGGGAAUUCCUGGUGUAGAGGUGAAAUUCGUAGAUAUCAGGAGGAACACCGGUGGCGAAGGCGCCUUUCUGGACCGAUACUGAUGCUGAGGUGCGAAGGCGUGGGUAGCGAACGGGAUUAGAUACCCUUGUAGUC